GCGAAAGUGGCGGAAUUGGUAGACGCACUGGAUUUAGGUUUCAGCGGGUAACCCCCGUGAGGGUUCGAGUCCCUCCUUUCGCACCA
rnacentral:tRNA from 1 species